rnacentral:rRNA from 1 species
GACGAACGCUGGCGGCGUGCUUAACACAUGCAAGUCGAACGGAAAGGCCCUGCUUUUGUGGGGUGCUCGAGUGGCGAACGGGUGAGUAACACGUGAGUAACCUGCCCUUGACUUUGGGAUAACUUCAGGAAACUGGGGCUAAUACCGGAUAGGAGCUCCUGCUGCAUGUUGGUGGUUGGAAAGUUUCGGCGGUUGGGGAUGGACUCGCGGCUUAUCCGCUUGUUGGUGAGGUAGUGGCUGACCAAGCCUUUGACGGGUAGCCGGCCUGGGAGGGUGACCGGGCACAGUGGGACUGAGAGACGGCCCAGACGCGAACGGGAGGCAGCGGGGGAGAGUAUUGCGGAGUGGGCGGGAGUCUGAUGUAGCAACGCCGCGUGCGGGAUGACCGGUUUUGGGUUAAGAACCGAUGUGGCCGGAGACGAGGCGUGAGUGACGGUAAUGGAUAAAGAAGCACCGGCUAACUACGUG